GCCAACGGCCAUACCACGUUGAACACACCAGUUCUCGUCCGAUCACUGAAGUUAAGCAACGUCGGGCCCGGUUAGUACUUGGAUGGGUGACCGCCUGGGAAUCCUGGGUGCUGUUGGUA
rfam:Orchesella cincta Ocin01_Sc5362, whole genome shotgun sequence.